rnacentral:lncRNA from 1 species
ACUUUCUCUAUAUAUUUAUUUAUUUAAUUUUUUAGUUUCUCCGAUCCAUCUAGAAUUUUAUGCAACUUCAUUUUUAUCAAACAAUUUAAAAUUCAAUUACAUACUCAAGUACCAACUACCAAGUGCUAAUAACAUAGUAUAAAAUAGUUAGGUGAGAAUGAAUAAUGAAAUUGGAUAGACUAAUAACAAACCACUGUGUACUCUUAAACAGAUUCCAGCAAAUCUCCAAAUCAAUGCCACUGCUUUUAUCAAUUCAUCAUGGCCUCCAUAUUCGUCAACCAGCAUAACCCUAAAGAAAAUUCAGAUCCUUCUGCCCCUGAUUGAGGUGGGAAAAAAAACUGAGGUGUUUUUUUAUAUAAGCAAUAGGUUGGAUGAUUAGACUAAGUUGGAAGUGUUUCCCAUGCUCCUCCUAUAAAAAGGAUUAACAACAAAUUUAAGUAAUUGGAACAUCAUAUCAGAAUUCAGAACCAAAUCAGUGGAAUAGAAAAAGAAAAGAGAAAGGAAGAAGAAGCAUAAAAGAGAUCAGCACCAUCGAUGCCGCCAUGCAAUCACCUUGCCUUCGCGGUUGACAUCCACAACCGGUAUCAAAUCCGACUUUUUUUCAUCAAGUUUCGACUUCCCCGACCAUUAUUAGUUCGUCGUUGCUAUUGGUUUACACCGAGCUUUUACUUUAUUCCGUACUAGUCACCGCCA